GCCGGAGUGGCGGAAUUGGCAGACGCACCUGACUCAAAAUCAGGCGGGUAACACCGUGGGGGUUCAAGUCCCUUCUCCGGCA
rfam:Megasphaera genomosp. type_1 str. 28L contig00013, whole genome shotgun sequence.